CAAGCCUGGCACACCCAUUUCUGGGCAGUUUCUCCCAUUCUUUCUUGCGAAAUGUGGAAACCGUUAAGAAAUGUGUAUACUUUCCAGAUGCACUGCAAGCACGGCAGAUAUCUAAACGCUUCAGGCAACAGGGGAUGAACCCACACAUCUGCUGCACAUCAUGCGUUUGUUUAUAGCCUGUGGUGUCAGCGGCGGACACAGGGUGGCCCAGCUGGUGUUCGGGGGAGUGCGGAAUACAACUGGAGGCUGCGCCUGAUAAACCGCACGCAUACGAGGACAGGGAGGGGAACCGGACUGCGAGAAAGGAAGCCAUAAAUCAGAGCGAAGGUCAGCAGCGAAUACGAAGACAGGCCCCAUCCGCGUCGAGAGGGCGAGCAGCCAGCAGCACAGCCAAACCAGCUAAGGUCGACGACAGCUAAACACACUGGUUGGCACGACAACAGACUGGAGAUCAGUACCUCAUCUCGCCCCCGGAGGCCCGUUCAUUUGGGUCAGCGAAGCGGCGCUAAAUUAAUUAAGAAGACGGGGGCUCACGUGUCUCAAAUAAAAUAAAAUAAAAUAAACAGUCGUUUCUGGGAAAACUUGGCUCCUCCCACCCAGCGUGCCGUUGUGACGCCGGCCGCAGAAUUGCGACUGAUUUACUGGCGAUUGCCGCUGCCUGCCACAGAGUUGCCACUCACUUGCCACUGCCACAAGGAGGAUCUCGGCCCUACUGAACACCUGGCGCCAGAGACAUUCUCACAGAGGUCCGAGGAACAACAUUGAACAAAUAGCGCCAACUGUACUCAACAAACCCCAAAGAGCAACAUGUAAAAACAAACAUAUGGAUAGCGAUCAAACGGCACAGCAGGAGAGUCUUUAUGCAACAGCUAAGCUACGUGACGACCCGCCUUAGUGUGCGGCGGGGAAAAAUAGAUCCGAUUUAAGUGGAAACAAAACGAAAACACAAAAGAGACAAAGAGCACUGACGUCGGCCUGCUAACAGUAUUGGAUUGAGACAGAUCGGAGAUUAGCGGUCACCGAGUCAGCUGUGUGCCGAGGACCUUUGGUCAGUGAAUCAGCUUACAGCGUGCUCUGUGAGGGGUGGGGGUCCAAGAAAUGGGAAAAACAGGAUAAUCCUGAAGCUAAUGAAAUGUACCUGGGGAUCUCAAUACCUUGCUCCGCCAGAGAAAUCUUACAUAUGAGGAUUAACAUGAGAGUACAAUUGCAUGACAAUCAUCAUCGUGUGGAAAAUCUUUGUGCUGCAGUGAACCAACACCUCACGAGCACGUACGUAGCAGGCUAUGAAGAAAUGCUUUCGCACCAGUUGCAAAACAC
ensembl:lncRNA